ACUCAAAUGAAUUGACGGGGGCCCGCACAAGCGGUGGAGUAUGUGGUUUAAUUCGACGCUACGCGCAGAACCUUACCAACCUUUGACAUGGGUAGUAUGGGGACCAGAGAUGGACUCCUUCACUUCGGGUGGCUACCACACAGGUGCUGCAUGGCUGUCGUCAGCUCGUGUCGUGAGAUGUUGGGUUAAGUCCCGCAACGAGCGCAACCCCCAUCUUUAGUUGCCAUCAUUAAGUUGGGCACUCUAGAGAAACCGCCGGUGACAAGCCGGAGGAAGGCGGGGAUGACGUCAAGUCCUCAUGGCCCUUACAGGUUGGGCUACACACGUACUACAAUGGCAGUGACAGUGGGAUGCAAUUCCGCAAGGAUGAGCCAACCUCCAAAAGCUGCCUCAGUUCGGAUUGUCCUCUGCAACUCGAGGGCAUGAAGUUGGAAUCGCUAGUAAUCGCGCAACAGCAUGGCGCGGUGAAUACGUUCCCGGGCCUUGUACACACCGCCCGU
rnacentral:rRNA from 1 species